rnacentral:rRNA from 1 species
GUGCCAGCAGCCGCGGUAAGACAGAGGUGCCAAGCGUUAGGCGGAAUCACUGGGCUUAAAGCGUGUGUAGGCGGAUCGUUAAGUACCUUGUGAAAUCCCACGGCUUAACCGUGGAACUGCUCGGUAUACUGGCGGUCUUGAGCAACCUAGGGGCGAGCGGAACAAAUGGUGGAGCGGUGAAAUGCGUAGAUAUCAUUUGGAACGCCAAUGGUGAAAACAGCUCGCUGGGGGUUUGCUGACGCUGAGACACGAAAGCCAGGGGAGCAAACGGGAUUAGAUACCCCAGUAGUCC